rnacentral:rRNA from 1 species
GAUGAACGCUGGCGGCGUGCCUAAUACAUGCAAGUCGAGCGAACAGACGAGGAGCUUGCUCCUCUGACGUUAGCGGCGGACGGGUGAGUAACACGUGGAUAACCUACCUAUAAGACUGGGAUAACUUCGGGAAACCGGAGCUAAUACCGGAUAACAUGUUGAACCGCAUGGUUCAACAGUGAAAGACGGUCUUGCUGUCACUUAUAGAUGGAUCCGCGCCGCAUUAGCUAGUUGGUAAGGUAACGGCUUACCAAGGCAACGAUGCGUAGCCGACCUGAGAGGGUGAUGGCCGACAAGGGAACGGAGACGGGGCCCAGACCCCAGGGGGAGGAAGAAGGGGGAGAUCUCCCGAAAUGGGCGAAAGCCUGACGGAAAAACGCCGCGGGAGUAAAGAAGGUCUUGGAAUCUAAAAACUUUUUUAUUAGGGAAAAAAAAAUGUGAAAGAAACAAGGCAGGUCUUGAGGGUACCUAAUAAGAAAGCCACGGCUAACUACGUG